rnacentral:rRNA from 1 species
AGUGAACGCUGGCGGUAGGCCUAACACAUGCAAGUCGAACGGCAGCACAGUAAGUUCUUGCUCUUACGGUUUGCGAGUGGCGUACGUGUGAGGUAUACAUCGGAAUCUACUUUUUCUUGGGUGUUUACGUAGGUAAACUUACUCUAAUACCUCAUACGUCCUACGGUUGAAUGCAGUUGUUCUUCGGACCUUGCGCGUUUGAAUGAGCCGAGGUCGGAUUAGCUAGUUGGCGGGGUAAAGGCCCACCAAGGCGACGAUCCGUAGCUGGUCUGACAGGAUGAUCAGACACACGGGAAGUGAGACACGGUCCAGAGUACUACGGGAGGCAGCAGUGGGGAAUAGUGGACAAUGGGCGAAAGCCUGAUACAGCAAUACCGAGUGGGAGAAGAAGGCGUUCGGGUUGUAAAGCCAGUUUGUUGGGAAAGAAAAGCAGCAGGAUAAAACCCCGCUGUACUGACGGUAACCAAAGAAAAAGCACCGGCUAACUACGUG